GGCUCCAUAGUGUAGUGGUUAGCAUGUCUGUUUUACACGCAGAAGAUCCUGGUGGAGCCA
rnacentral:tRNA from 1 species